rnacentral:rRNA from 1 species
UACGGGGGGGGCAAGCGUUGUUCGGAAUUACUGGGCGUAAAGGGUUUGUAGGUGGCUUGUUAAGUCAGACGUGAAAUCCCUCGGCUUAACCGGGGAACUGCGUCUGAUACUGGAUGGCUUGAGGUUGGGAGAGGGAUGCGGAAUUCCAGGUGUAGCGGUGAAAUGCGUAGAUAUCUGGAGGAACACCGGUGGCGAAGGCGGCAUCCUGGACCAAUUCUGACACUGAGGAGCGAAAGCCAGGGGAGCGAACGGG